UGCCUUUGGACUUAUUUAUAUGACUGCUUUUGUUUUUCUUAGAGAACAAAAGCUUGACUCCUGCUUGUCCCAUGGAGCCCUCAACACCAGUGACUGAUCAGGGAUGGGCUGCCUGAGGAAAUCAAACCUGUGAGGACCACGUGGAAGCUGUGUGACCCCACAGAUAAGUUGCUGGUUUAGGUUUCCAAGGGUUGGAGGCUAGUGCUUAAUUUUAAAAUGACAGGUCCUGUGGUAAUGUCCUAAGACAACAACAAAGAAAUGGCUCUAUCUGAUGCCAGUGACUGUUCCUCCCAGCAACCAGAGGGCCACCAGACGUGGCCAUGGAAAUAAUGGCACUGAUGUGUGCCAUUGUGGAAAGGUAGCAUGGAAAACACUACCUCUGCUUCUUGAGACAGGAGUUAGCACCAGCCUGACCAAUGCUCCAGGCUGCUGCCUAAUUGUUUAUGUUUUAUUGCCAACUAAUGCCAGACCGCAGUCUACCAACAGUCCAAGUUGGAUUUCCUCUGACUGUGACUAGUAUGGGACCUGUAGCACUGAAAAAUCACUGCAAAGUCAGUCUAGCCACAGCACAACAUUUUGUUACUGCCCAGCUGCCUCUUGUCUGCCACAGCCUUUUACCACAGGCUCUGUAAAGGUGGGACAGAGCUGCUGCUGCUCCCUGGAGAGAGAAAUCUGGGGCUUUUCCUGCAUGGGUGAAGAAGAAGCUAUCAUCAUGGCAGGCAAGGCAAGAACAGGGAUGAAUGCCUGCACAAGACAUUAUUUGCCUGGUGCUCUUCUGUGGUUUGACAAUGCUGAGCAGGAGGUAGAGGAUGACUGGGCACAUUUUCUCACCUGUGAAAUGCUGUUAUUUGGAUCCCCUCUCCUUCACACCAAUGCCUCUGCAGGGGCUAACAAGGGGUCCUGCUAUUGUGCAGAUAUUAAAAGAUGGAAGAGGCACAGGAUACAGUGUUUGUUGUGCACUGCAGUGAAUCUCUUCCCAGUCACACAGCCAAGUUUGAAGCUAAAUUCAAAUGAAAACAAUUCAUUUCGAUGA
rnacentral:lncRNA from 1 species